rnacentral:rRNA from 1 species
UGCGUAGGCGGAUAAAUAAGUCAGUGGUGAAAUCUUCCGGCUCAACCGGGAAACUGCCAUUGAUACUGUUUAUCUUGAGUUCGGUAGAGGUAGGCGGAAUGUGUAAUGUAGCGGUGAAAUGCUUAGAUAUUACACAGAACACCAAUUGCGUAGGCAGCUUACUAUGCCGACACUGCCGCUGAGGCACGAAAGCGUGGGGAGCGAACAGGAUUAGAUACCCUGGUAGUCC